AAUGGUCCGCCGCCGGUGAGGAAAAGGCUACCCGUGGUGGAUCUACCCGAUGUGUGCCGCUUCACCGACGGAGGGAGGUGGCCGUCGGGGAUGGAGCAGGAGGGACCGAUAGCGGCGGCGAGCGGGCUAGAGGAGUUACCGACGGCGGCGGAGAGCGGGCGAGCGCGAGGGAGCGGGCGAGACGAGGGAGCUACGACGGCGGAGAGCGAGCGAGAGCGAGGGAGUGUGCGAGAGGAGGGAUCUACGACGGCGGAGAGCGGGCAAGAGCGAGGGAGCGUGCGAGAGGAGGGACCGAUGGCAGUGGAGAGCGGGCAAGCGCGAGGGAGCGGGCGAGAGGAGGGAGCGACGGUGGCGGAUUGCGGGCGAGAGCGAGCGAGCGGGCGAGAGGGAGGGCGCAGUGGAUAAUGAUGGGAGGCGAGAGGGAGAGGAAAUGACGUGUGAAGCGUCGGUGGGCAACCAAACGGGCUGUUACAUACCAAGAAUUAGGGUUUCUUUAGAAAGCUCCGGGUGGGCUAACACGCGGCUCGCUCCUGUAUCGGCCCAGAACCGUGGCAACACGGAGCAAGCAGGCCACACCAAGGCCCAAACCAGGCGCCAGGUCCAAAACAAAGGAAACUCUCGUUUGGAAAAAAAAAAGAAAAGAAUACUAAAGGAAACUCGUAUCUUUCUGUCCCGAUUAAAUCUUGUGCGCUGAUUUCCAAUCGGACGAUCAAGAUCGACCCAUGUAGCCGUGCGGCGGUGUGCCGUGUGCCACCACGGACCAUGCGGACCCGCGGGUCACAUCUACUUGCUCCUACCAGUCCCAAACCCCAGGCAUCGUGCUACACACCCUAACCAGUAAGGCAGUAACCACCUCCCUCGCCGCCGCAGGUGAACGGCGACGGCGAUACCGAUGGGCGCGUCGGCCUCCGUCCUCUCGCUCCCGACGGCCGCCGCGCUCCCCGCAACCGCCACCGCCGUCGCCGGGGCCGCAGGCUGCUUCGCGCUCGGCUACCUCCUCGCCCUCACCCGCUUCCCGCGCCACGCCGCCGCCCCCGGCCCCGGGGGCCUCUCCGAUGACGACUCCGAGGACGACUCGGAAGAAGAUGAUGACGAUAACUCCGGCCGCAGCCGAGCCGCGAAGCGGGCGGGCGGGCAGAAGAGGACCGGGCUCCGGCUGCUCUUCUGGGCGCGGAACGUGGUGACCAAGUCCGACUCCGCCAGGGAGGUGGAGAGGGCCCAGGCCCAGGCCGCCGCCAGCCCCCUGGAGAUCGAGAACCUCGCCGAGAUUAUAGAAGAUUUCAAGAUGGUACUGGAGACUUAGUUCAUGAUUCUACUAUUUGAUCUGUUGGAUUGUACUUUAGUACAGAAUGAGGAUAGAAUAUCAAAUUAUAUAUGUUGGUUUUUUCUUUGAUGUAGGUGCUGGUCGUCAGGAACGAUUUGAAGAUGGGCAAGGGGAAGAUCGCUGCACAAUGCAGGUGAGACCUUCCUUCACUGUAGCGUCAUUUCAAGACGUGUAUACUCUGGGAGGAAGUGAACCAAGCUCGCUAGUCUCUAGUCACACAAAAUGUUUGCUUAGGUUGUGCACUAAGUUGUUUUCACAGUUGUUUGGUGGAAGAUACAAGUCCUCUGAACCAAAGCCUGCCUGUCUCGACUCUAGCGAUAUUUUAGAACCGAUAACGGUUUGAGAGAACAAGGUGGAGUUAGGGUUAUUAUGUGCUUUCAUGCACUUUUGAUGAAUGAAACGUUGACUAAUGAACAACUGUGGAACCUGUACAUAUAUUUUUUGCCAGUGCACAAAUGAAAUUAGUCGAGUAAAGAAAUUGGUUGUUUUGCAUGACACAGGGUGCCAGUCUCUUUGUUCUUUCUAUGCUGGCAGUUGUUCACUUGAAUUAGACAAUAGCAUUAUGUACCUGUUGUUUGGUUUAUUUAUAGUGUCUAAAAUACACAAAAGUGCAUAAUGUUGUCUAGAAUUAUUUGUUCUAUAAAAAGUCAGAUAGAUGGAGCAAUGGGGAGUAUUUUAUCCUAUUCCUGGAGACCUGGACUCAUAUAGUCAGAACCCAUUCGGUAGUUUGUUUGGUUGAAACAUAACAGUUUUGCAAUAGUAGCUACCCCAUCUGGCUCUCAUCCAAUGCAAAUUCAUCAACUGCAUUUGGAUGGCAAAGCAGGGUUACCUUUUAUCUUUAUUGCUUCAACACGACAGUACUUAUGCUACAUCCAAACUUUGCUGCCUUCCACAAAGUGGAAAUGAGCCAAUGUAAUGCUUUAGCCAGUCAUCUUUGGCCAGGCAGCUAUUCAACUUCAUUUGCCAGAGAGUGCAUUGCUAAUAUCUGUGAUGCAUUUCUUUAUCUUUUUGAAUGAAUUUUCACCAUUUUCACAUGAGACACUCUUUAUUUUUGGCCAUGAAAGAUGUGUGCAUUUAGCUUUGAUGAACUAAAUUACCAGGCUACAAAAUUUAUGCUGGUCUUUGCCACCCAGCACUUCAGUUAUAACCAUCAGCAGGGAAAGAGUUACCGUAGUCAUCAACAUUUUGUUAUUUGUUUUUGAAAUGUGGGUAUUGUCUCAUAUGUUGGCUUUUUCUGUAUUUGUAGCCAUGCAACUCUUGGUCUGUUCAAAAAACUCCAACAGAGAGCGCCAAAAUCACUAAGAAGGUAUUACUCCACAACAAUUUCUUAUGUUGUUUGAAGCUUCUUCCAGAUGAACUUCAUAUUCCACUGAGAUAGCAAAACAUAUGCCAAAUUUGCUUUGCUCUCUACUUUUCAUUUUUUGCAGGUGGGAACGAUGUGGGCAAGUUAAGGUGGUUGUGAAAAUAGAAAGCGAGGAAGAUAUGCUUGUUUUACAAGUAAAUAUUCCUCCUCCUUGCAUAUUGACUAUAUUGAAAGUGCUUUUCUGAGAUCCAAACAUGAUAAGAUGAGUAUGAGUGGAAAAUAAAACCUCAUCUUGAAAUAAUUUCACCAUUUCGUGAAUUGAUGGAUUUAUUUUCUAAAAAUGGAACAUUUGGUACUUGCAUGGUGUAAUCCUUUAUUAUUCAUUUAGAGAAAUCUUUUGCUUCAGCUUUUACCUAAUUUAACGAAAAAAAUAAAGGAUUGCUGUUAAUUCCCUGAAACAUGACAAGGAUUUGGCUGAUUCCUCUCUGGGGAACUCCUCAUGUUUUUGAUCAAAAAUAAAAGAAGUUGGCGGAUUUUGCUUUUGUUGUGUUUAACAUUGUCAAUUAUGUUCCUUACUCCAGAGUGUCUAAAUUACCUUUUUGAUGCAGGGGAGAGCAAAGUCUCUGAAUCUUCCAACGCACAUAACCAUAGACGCUGGAAGAACACAGAUUGCUCCAAGUGAGUUGUUCGAGUGUUAACUUAUAACAUUCACUUCUUUCUCUUUUUUUUCUAAUUAUUUGAAUUUUUCUUUCUCUAAACUUAAAUUUUCUGUAGAUUCAAGAACAGUGAUGGCUAUUCUUGGUAAGUUGCAUUCAAUUCCCGCUAGCAUGUUCUGUAUAUUCUUAUUGGCGUUCUUUUGCUGAUCUUACCUUUUCAACUGGGCAGGGCCUGCUGACAUGGUUGAUGAUGUCACUGGUGGUCUGAAGCUAUUGUAAACUUCACCUUGUCAGUAUUCUCAAGCACCCAACAUGGGUGUUUACAGAGAUAUGCUGGAAUUUUACAAUCCACAUUGGACUCACACUUCUGAUCUGCUGCUGAAGAAUGAAUCUCAGUCUCAUUGGUUGACUCGAUCUUGCUGUCUGUGGAUUUAUUCAAAAGGAGGCUGUUUCUUUUUUACUUGUAUCAACUGUUGUCUUUGGAGCUCAGAUUUCAGUUCACCCAGUUUUGGUGUCGAGAACUUGUGGACCAUUGUUUCUUCUGUAACAUAGAUAAGAAAAGGUCCCGCUGUUGUCCCUUUCUUUGUUGUCCCUAUAAGCACAGAUUAUGUAUUUCGCACCACUCAUGAGUCAUGACUUGCAACUAUGAGUACCACAGAUUCUAGUAAGCAUAUGUUAGGUUAAUGUUCCUCUUGGCCAUUGUUAAAAAUGUCACUGUUACUUUGCAGUUACUAGAUUUGUGUUGUAGCCAGCAGCGCUUGCACUGAAUCAACCAAUGGAAGGAACGCAAGAACAGUGUCACUGCUCCAGUUCAGGAAACGCUUUAUAGUGAGUGCAAGUGCUUCAUAAAUAAGCUCUCUUUGGUUUCCAAGGAAAGAAACUCCGACAGAUAGAAAAUAAAUGCAAUCUAGCAGUGACGGUGAAUGCUGAAAUUACAAUUUUCAGACAAGUCGAUCUUAUUCUGAUUGACUACGGCAAACAACUCCGCCUUCCCAUUUUCCUCGCUUAAUGCCUCCCGGUUCAGCUGCUCUGCGGCCUGCUGCUCUCACCAAAGAUCCUGUUGAGUAUUGCAGCGAGCCUGACACCACCUUGCGCGAUUCUCUUCUGAACAACCGGCAGCGCAGAGAAGAAAUAGUGAUCUGCAUUUCCAAUUUCAGGUGAAUCGCAUCACAAUACGUUUCUCUAGUAAGCUCACAAAAUUAUUUGAUCUGGUCUUCAGAGGCUCAGAGCCUACCUCCUAGGAUGGAGCCUUGCUCAGCACCCGCAUACGCCACGUCGCACGCCAGCUGCGCGCUCUCCAUAGCGUACCUGCAUUUGCUUUCAGCCGUUAGCCGUCUCUGAAUAUCAUCAGGUUCACUUUCUAAAUAAACAAAGCUUGAUUGCAGAUCAUGAUCUCACUUGUCAGCACAAGUCUUUGCAGAUCAUGAUCUCAAAAUAGACAAAGCCUCCCACUCCCUCUCCUCAUCGGCCCACGCCUCCUAGCACUGACACGGCGAAAGCUGAAGUGAAGCAAGCUACGCAAUGCCGUAGAGCACUUGUACUUACAGUGAUGUUCUGCAUGAUGACCUGUGUCAUGAUGCUCAGGUCGUCGUUGUAGAAGUCCUUCAUGGCUUUCUGGAUGAUGUCCAAAUCCCAUACCUGAUGAAAACAUGCAAAAAUUAAGCAUGCAGUUGAACAAAAUUGAGAUCUGAUGAUUCUGCUGCUCGAGUUAACGUACGCGGUGAAGGUUGGUCGUGGUUGUGUUGUACCAGUGGACGAUGAUGGUGUUGCCGCCGAAGUCGGCGGUGUUGCCGCAGUGGAGGGGCUGGUGGAUGUCGCCGACGAAGUGCGCCAGGAACAUCAGGCUUAUGGUCGGAUCAACCACUGGUGGCAGUGUCAGAGGAUUAUAUGCGGAGUAAAGAUAUACAAUGCACGAUAUACAGAGUAGAUUACAAACGAUUGUAUUGAUGAUGCUUACAUGGAGCUGACGAGUUCAUCAGGGCUGUGGUGUAGUUGUUGAUGCCUCCAACCACACACAUGUCCUUCUCCCCGUUCAUGUUGUGGCAGUCCCCUGGUCAAAAAUAGUAGUGCUAGAACCAUCAGAGCACAACACACCAGCAGCAAGAAGGUUGUUUGGGAUGCCGGCAAUGGAGAGCCUAGGUAGCUUACUGUCGUAGAAGAACUGGCAGUCGCCCGGCGUGUCGGCGAAGUGCAGCGAGCCCGACCACGGGUACCGGCGGCGCUCGUCGUCGGCCCAGGAGCACGUCUCCGCGAGCUCGCCGCCUCGCCGGCCCACCCCGGCAGGAGGCUCGUCACCGCCGCGGAGUCCUCGCUCGUCAGGAAGCUCUGCACAGGCAGCAGACUGAAGAACUCAAGCUCGUUCGUUCAUUUACCUGGGCGAUCUAGCACACCAUGCAGUGUCCCUCCUUGCGCCAUGCGUGGGCGGCAGGAGCUCCCGCCGCCACCGCGACGAGGAGGACGUGAAGAAGCCGGAGGUGCGAGCCCAUAUUCCUAGCAGCUAGCACCGUGCUCUCUCUCUCUCUCUCUGACACUCUCUGUGUUGCCAUGAUGCUUUCGGUUUCCUUCUCACUUGACCACCUUGGUACUGCCUUUAUACACGCUACAGGAAAAACCAAUGCGGCCUGCCUUUGUACGCUUUUACUGCCUUUCUACCCUUUUACUGUUCCAAUCCAACGACGACAAGAGGAUUGUUCCCUCCUAUAGAAUCCAAGAUGCCACGGAUGCACACACGUGACUCUCGUUUCCAUGGUAGUUCGCAUCAAUUGAUCAGCGGAUAAAAGUUGAGAAGAAUAAAGCAUGACGGAGGUGCGGUGCGGCACUCGCUGCUUUGUUUUGUGCAGUGGCACUCUGUAGCGCGCGCCUUUAUUAUGUCCACAACCAAGAAGCCACCCCGAUGUGAUUUUUCUGGUUUCGAGGUUUGAGCACGAGUGAAGUGAUCAGAUCCGAUCCGAUUGCUUAAUACGAGUAUAUUUUUUUCGAGCUGAACUACGAUUUCUUAUGGCGGAAUGAUUUGAGUUCUUCGCUCCGCGCGAUGUUCACAUUAUUUUUGAAUUUAUUCAAAGGAUUAAACUGACGCUAUUGUUUCAGUGGUAGUUGACAUGACCGUUAACAACGAGACACCAGUAGUAAUGUUUUAUAAAUGUUGAGAAUUUACCGGCUCAGUCUUUCGGAUGUGCUCCAAUCUCAUAAGAGUAAGGUUGUGCGUAGAGCGAGUGUGCGUGUAUGUGUCGCAUCCUCUUUACCGUGUGAUUAAAAAAAAUAUGAGUAUAUUUUUUGAUAACCGACGAUGGAAAAAAAAAGAGAGAGCGUAAAAUGGUAUUCGGGACUUCGGGAGGCUCCGCCGACAGCAGGCGUCGCUGCAAAAGCUAUUCCCCGAUUUGAGGUGACUAGGUGAGUGAAGCGCAAGGACCGCUUUGCUUGGGGACUGCUUUGGUUCCUUGUGACUUUGAGAGUGUGUUUGGUUGCAUGCACCACAUGAUGCAUGCACAGAUGAUCCUGGAUGGGAUGAUUCAACCAAUUUACUUGUACCAUAUGGUUCACUCUAAUUAGUAGAAUAAUGUAUUAAAUGGGAUGGUCUCAUCCUGGAUGAGUUGGUCCAAUUCACCCAACCAAAUAAAAGGAUCAUUAUUAUUUUGAAUUAUUCCAUACAUGAAUCAAAUCAUACAACCAACCAAACACACCCUGAGUUUGUUCUUUCGUCGUUCUUUCGUCGAUCCUCUCUGGUUUUUCCUUUUCUUUAGCUAUUUUAUUUUCUCCUUUAAUUUGUCCGGGAAAUAAAGCAUCUAUGGACUGUGUGAUGACUGAUGGAUGAUGAUGGUGGUGCACUGGUGCAUCAUUCUAUCCACCAUGAUUUAAAUCCGGCUGGAGAUUACCUACUUUACUAGCAUAAUACCUUAUCAUUUGCCGCGUUUUUUUUGUUAUUUUUUUGCCGCGCUCUGGUGAUAGCAGUGUGGGAAUUUUGAGCACAAGCUAGAUAAGAGAUAUGGUUUGGAGGUCCACAUAAGCUCAUUUUUCCUAUUCUUCUUCCCCGACGCGCCUCCACCCUCACCCCUGCAUCCACCGUCCCGGCCGGCGGCCGCUGCGCUGUUUGCCCACCACCACCCUUCCUCCCCACCCUUCCUAAUCCGGCAUUUCCUUGUUGCCCUCGUUGUUGACCACCGCCCAUCAAGAAUCCUGCCCCUGCUUGCCGGCAGCGCUCUCGCUCCGCCUUGCCCUCCGUUGCCAAUCGUACCACCACCGUCGCCGCCAGGUCUACCGCUACCCCUCAGCCUUCUUCUCUAAAGCUGACGGACAUGGAAACCUCUUCCCCAAAAAUUUUUGAACCCUAACCUCCGCCAGUCGCCACCCACCGCCGAUGACCUCGACCACCACCGGCGCCUGGUGGCGACCUCACCGUCGAGCCGCUACCAUCCACUUCUCAUUCCUUCGUCCAGCUCCCACCCCUCUGGCUAGGCUUCUCAAGUCUCAACGAGUGGCGGCGUGAGGAACCGGCCUCCAACAACGGCACGAAUCUCAAACACCAGGAAUAGCUUCCGGGCUUCCUGGAUUUAUUGGGUCCUGCCAGCGGGCCUCCACGAAAGGUCAGCAGCCCAGCACCACCGCGUAGCCCACCACGCCACUCAUGUUGGGUCCCAUAGGCCCAGAGGGCACCACAACUUCACUGCAUGGGCCGUGGCCUGCCAGUUGCACUCUGUAGCAGCAGCGCGCCUAGACCCAAUCCCAUCUCGAUAAGGACAACUUCAAGAGCUUAUCUAAAAAUUCUUCCCCAAAAUUAUGUUAGGGGGGCUCUUCCAAAAUUUUCUUUCCCCAAAAAUAUGUCAUCCCACAACAGAUCUCCAAUAAUAACUUCCCCGAUAUUUCAAAAUAUGCCACGUCAGCACAACGUGGGGGGCGACGAGCGUGUUGGACUCGCAGUACAGGUAGAACACCUGACUGCAGACGGCACCGGAGCACGCCGGCCCGAUGUCCGCCGCAUGCGCUUCUGCGCCUCCGCCAAUGGCGGCUGGCUCAUUCUCAUGCUCGACUCAUGCCACGGGUACGCGCUCUACAAUGUCAACUUCGACCAGCGCAUCCCGCUCCCGGCAAGCUUCACGACACCGUGGGACAAGGACAUCCCACUGGUCAUGCACGCCGACACGUUCUCUGCCCUACCAUUCGGUCGCAACCAGUACAUGGUCGCCGCCAUCGUGCUCAUCGGCAACCACUCCACCACCGCAUUCUGGAGUGAGGCUAGGAGAUCAUGCAACAGCUAGCCACCGCGGCGAAGGUCGCCAAGGAGUAGGACAUCAUGCAGCAGAACCCUGCGGUGGAGGUUGGCAGAGAGCAUGAAUUGAUCGUGCAGCAGGCCAAGCAGCAGGAGAUGGUGAUGCUGCUGCAGGCCGCCGAGGCGCCCAUGGUGCAGUACUCUGAGAUAGAGCUCGGCAUCUCGCUGGGGCACUAGCCAUCGGUGCAACAAAUGUUGCAGGAGCAUGGUGGGAGUCACUGGGGAGCCAAACAUGAUGACGGUGGUGCAGCAUGUCACGGCCUAUGCAGACGCUGAGCGCGGGAGGAGGCAAAGAACUACAUAUGGUCUGAGACUUGCCGCGCCAUUCCUCGUCGAGCAGAAGUCGGCGCCACAGGGGCUGACGAUAGGGGCGCUUGGGCUCCAACUUGAUUCAUCUCUGCCGCCGCCGUUGGUGUCGUUGGGCCAGCCGCAUGCCCGAGUGUCGCAGCAGCGAAGCACGGAUGGUGGAUGGCUGGAUGACCUAGGAGAACCUCCCUCCUAGUUCGGCAAUCCCCAUGUCUAGCAGCGUCGCCGCCAACCCGGAGGAGAUCAGGGCACGCGUCAUUGUCCUCGGUGCCCCCCAUGCCAACGCCACCAAUGAGUGGGCGUGCCCGGAGCACGGCGUGUCCGUGCAUGGUGCCAACAGGGAAAAGCUUGUGGGAAAAAAACUUGCGGGAAAGGAGUGCGAUGGGCGAUUGGGGGAAGAGCAGGCGCAUGCAAAUAUGUGGGGUGGCGGCGGACGGAUACGGGACGAUGGAAAUUUGCAGGAAGGUUGAGGGAGUUGUUGGAGGUAAUUUUUUUUCCCUAAAUAAGGUGUUGGGGUAAUUUUAAAGGAGCUUUUGGAAUUGCUCUAACACGCUGAAUAUGGAGUUCAGACUGCCAAUCGGUAAUCGGCCCUUCAAGUUCAUUUUAUUGCAUAACUGUGGGGAGCAGUAGCAUUGCAGUAUAGCAACUUAGCAAGUGGUGUACUACCAUGUAUUUUUUUUGAAAAAAAGUAAUUGUCUCCUGCCUCUGCAACCACACACAGUCAUAUUUUUGUACAAUUUUUAGCUCACAAGUAGAUCACAUAUAAUAGGAAAAAAGUAGCAUGACAGGAACAAAUCAAAAGCAAAGUCCAUUAUUGCUUCUCCAUCCAUUCUUGGCAAAGAUAUCCAAGGUGAUGACUUCCAACGCUUUACUUGCUAAACAGAUGGUCUCCAUUGUUUCCUCUCAUUGAUGUAACAAAGACCAAAAUCGCAGCCAAUAUGCUCCCCUGAAAACAGCCUGCAUAAAAGAGGUGAAUGAUUUUUCUCAAAAACCACAUCGUUUCGCGUACACCAAAUUGCCCACAUGAGAGCUGCAACCCCAACAAAAAUCAAACUUCUAUGAUUCUUUCUUAUGCAUGUUAACCAAUUUCCAAGCAUAUGCGCUAUUGAUUUUGGCAGGAUUAACCCAGUAGCUAUAUUAACAACUCUCCAAAUUAUCUUGGCAUGUUGACAAUAAAAAAAGAUGCUUAAUUGUUUCAUUACAAUCACAGAAGCAACACUUUUGACUUCCAUACCAGUUUGUCUUAGCUAAGUUAUCAUUUGUUAAAAUAACACCUCGUUGGAGGUACCACAUAAAAAUUUUAAUUUUGAGAGGGAUCUUUAGCUUCCAUAUAAAUUUAUUGGUGGAAGAAACAUCUUGGUUUAUGAGAUAUUGAUACAUAGACCUUACAGUAAAAUCACCUUGGCUAUGUAAGUCCCAGGUAAAAUUGUCCCUCCCUUCAGAAAGCUGGUAAGAAGCUAUUUUAGCUACAAGGUUAUGCCAAGCAGUCAGUUUAUCCCUAAUUAGAACUCUUCUAAAAGAGAUAUUCCAUGGUAUUUGGUUCAUAACAUUUGCCAUUGUAGUGUGAGGAUAAUAGACUAUAUUAUAUAAGUUAGUAAAUUGCUCUCUGAGUGAUUUAGAGCUAAUCCAAGUGUCCUUCCAAAAUCUGGUUUGUGACCCAUCUUUUAUUUUGAAAAUCCCGCAGCCCAGAAAAUCUUCCCUAACUUUUAACAAACCUUUCCAAAAAUGCGAGUCUCCAGGUUUGGUUGUAGCCUGAGACAGGUACUUUGAACUCAGUUAUUUCUAAGUAAGGUUUGCCGUGUGCUAUUUUCAUUCAGCAAUUUAAAUAACGAUUUGCUAAGUAGAUAUUUAUUUAUAAUCAAGAGGUUUGUUAUUCCCAAACCCCCUUGAUCUUUAGGACGACACACUAUGUCCCAUUUGGCUAGGCGGUAUUUUUGUUUAUUAUUGUUACCUUGCCAAAAGAAUUUGGAUCGAUAAAAAUCCUCCUUAUGACAUAAUUCAAUAAAAUCAGUCGUACCCUAUGAGAUAAAUGUUUGGCCUUCGAGGUACUUGGUAGUCGUUUGAAUCUUUCCUCGAUAACAUUCCAAUUUGCAUUAUGGAGUUUGUUGUGAUGCAUCGGGAUUCCUAAGUACCUGAAAGGGUACGACCCUAGGCCACAACCAAACAAUUGAGUAUAUUUCUGCUCGUAGUGUUUUGCAGCUCCAUAACAAAAUAUCUCACUUUUGUGGAAGUUGAUUUUUAAACCUGACAGUUGUUCAAAGAUGCAAAGCAAGAGCUUCAUAUUCUUAGCUUGCUCUAAAUCAUUAUCCAUAAAUAUGAUUAUGUUAUCUGCAUAUUGUAGGAUUGACAAUCCAUCAUCCACCAAGUGAGGUAUCACUCCAUCAAUUUAGCCAUCAUCCUUAGCCCUCUUAAUUAAAAUAGAGAGCAUAUCAGCCACAAUAUUGAAUAGGAUAGGUGACAUGGGGUCUGCUUGCCAAAGACUUUUUUUGUUUGGAAGUAGUGCUUAAUGUCAUCAUUGAUUUUGAUGCCCACACUUCCUUCGGAAAUAAAAUUUUUAAUCCAUGUACACCAUCGCUGGCAAAAUCCUUUCAUUCUAAGGGUUUGUUGUAGAAAAGAUCACUUUACUUUAUCAUAAGCCUUUUCAAAGUCAAUUUUGAGAAUCACACCAUUGAGUUUUUUUUGGUAACUCAUGGAUAGUUUCGUGCAAUAUCACUACUCCUUCCAUUAUAUUUCGACCUGGCAUGAAAGCUGUUUGUGAGGGAUAAACCACUUUGCUAGCCACUCCCAUGAGCCUAUUGGUAGCCAUCUUGGUGAAAAUUUUAAAACUCACAUUGAGUAAGUAAAUGGUUCUAUAUUGUUGUAUCUUUGUUGCCUCUUUUAUUUUUGGAAGUAAAGUAAUUACUCCAAAAUUGAGACUAUGGAGAGGGGGGCAUCCUUCAUAAAAAUCAAUGAAUAAUGCCAUAAGGUCCGAUUUAAUAAUUUCUCAGAAAACUUGAUAAAACUCUUCUAGAAACCAUCAAGGCCAGGAGAUUUAUUAUGCUGCAUUUGGAACACCGCCUCCUUUACUUCCCUCUCCGUGAAAGGUGCUGUGAGGAAAUUAUUUUCAUCCUCUGUCACCUGAGGUAUGUCAUUAUUUUGAUUUUCCACCAUGUUGAAAUUAUUGUCAUCUGGUGGUCCAAACAACCCCUUGUAAGUUUGUGAUAUAUGCUUUCAAUUCAGCAUCACCCACUAUUACGUAAUCUUCUUGUUCUAAUUUGAAGAUGCGUUGUUUUCUAUGUUUACCAUUAGUGACCAAAUGCAAAUAUUGGGUGUUAUCAUCACCUUCCAAGAGGUCAGCUCUCUCAUACCAUUUAAUUUCCUCCUCCCUUAAUAAGUGAACUAAACGUUCAUUGAGGUAGUGUUUCAUAUUUAACUCCUGAUUAGAGAGCACUCUAUUCUCAACUUUCUUAUCCAGAUCAUCAAUCAUGAAGAUCAACUUCUUCUCCUUUUUAUUGUGGCCAGCUGUAUUUUUUGUUUAGCCCCUCGAAAAUUGUCAAAGAGCUCUUAUUUUAUUCUGCAGUGGUUCCUCUGGUUUUAGAUCCCCACUUAUCAGCAGUCAACUCAUAGAAACCAUCUCGAAUAAGCCAGCCACGUUCAAAUUUGAACAAUGGUUGCUGCCUAUUGUGGGAAGAAGUGCCUGUGUUUAGCAAUAAAGGGGUAUGAUCUGAAUUACUUCUAUCUUUAGGAUGUACUGUUGUAAGAGGGAAUUUUUGCUCCCUCUCUGUACUAACUAAGACCCUAUCAAGUUUCUCAAAUGUUGGAUCAUCUCCGCUGCUCACCUAUGUAUAUUGGCGACCUGACAUUUUUAUCUCUCUAAGAUCAAGGUUUUGAAUGACCAUAUUAAAUAAAUCUAGCCAUUUUGCAUCAAAAUUGUCCUUAUUUUUAUCCUCAGGAUGAUGCAUGAUAUUAAAAUCUCCACCAAUUAUAUAUGGUAGCGAUUCUUUACUACAACUGUGCGCUAUUUCUAUCAAAAAGUUUUCCUUAUGCUGCUAUUGAGCAGGACCAUAAACUAUAAAUAACGCAUAUUUGUAGUUAUCAUGUUUAUUGCGAAGGGUGAACUUAACAUAAAAGUCCCCCUCAUCAAUGGAUCCAAUAUCAAAUAUUGUAAGGUCAACACCAAGAAGAAUACCCCCGGAACGACCAUGUGGUGCUAUACAGUGCCAAAUAAAUUCUUUGCUACCAUAUAGUUUUUUUAAGAUCCCAUCUGGGAAAUGAUCCCGACACGUUUCCAUAAGGGUAAUAAAAUCAAUUUGCUCCUCUUUAACCAAAUCUUCCAAAUACACAUGUUUAGUCUGCAAGACCUCUGCUAUUGCAGAAGACCCCUUUUAUUUGAAACUCAGCUUCGAUGGAGUUAUUGGUUUUUAGGCGAUAAGGCCACUUUAUUAUUAUUUUUCCUAGAAUUGGAUUUUUUUCCAGCAAGGAGUAGCAACUAGAUCACUACAAAUAUGAUCUAGGACCUCCUUCUGCACACUCUCAUCAAAAUCCCCACAAGCGUGGUUGAGUUGUGCAUCUAUGAGGUCUUCUUCUUCCUCGUCCAGGUUAAUUUUAGGAGAGGAAUAUCUAUUGCUACUAACAUUGUAUUUAGCCGACACUUUAAGUCUAUCAAUUUCUAUGUUUUUAAGAGAAGAAAUAACACUAUUAUCUCUACCCAUAGAAACACCUAGGUUGGCAAUUCUAGAAAUAAUAUUUUAAUCUGAAAUAGAUGGAAAAGAGGCAAUUACCUGGUUCCAUCGCAUUUUUCUUGGUCACCAAGUUCAUUGCCUUCUCUACCAUGUUUGUGUCACCCAUUGUAGAAGCUCUUUUAGUGGAUCUUUUCUCAUUAGUAAUCGCCUCUACUCCAGUGACACUAUCGAGAGCCUGGAGAGCCUUUGACAUUGCCACAUUGGUGAGGUUAGCAUGUAUCCCAUUCUUUUUGGAAAGCGCUUGCAGCAUGCGUCGAGGUAGACCAUGAAAUUGGUUGUGAGCUGGACUGAUCUCAUGCUGAAAAGCCUCCACAGCAACCUCGGUUUCCUCUUGACUAGCAAUCUUACUGCCCCCAGUGUAUUCUGUUUCUCAGAAGGCACAACGUCGAAUGUAAGGCAGGCCUCCUCAACAGAUCUUCUCUGUAUGCUAUCGUCUUCCAUGGUUAGUGCACAUUCAAGCUCAGGUGUGUCGCUGGUCCGUUCGUCGGUCACGAGCAUGGGAACUGCAACUGAGGCAGCAUUACCAACCGUGGUUAGUUCGCUGCCUAACAGAGUGGAACCCGGAACAGAUUCGUCCGGAUCCACAACAUCCAGCUCUGUGUUGUUGGCCCCAGCAAGAACUUCAGUAUUGUUCUCAUCUGCUAUGCAAUUUUCAGUGUGUUGUUCCGAUUCCAACAAUGCUCCUGAGAUAGUACCAUCAACUUUUAUGUUGGGGACCCGUGGAAUGUCAACUUAAGCAGCCACCUUGGUGCUCAGUUCUUCCAGAAUAGUAUCUACAGCAAAAUCAAUUGGUUGCUCUAACACUUGCAUCUCAGUAGCAGAGGGAGGUCUAUUGUGUUGCAUUUGUUUAGGUACUUCAUCCAUCUUAGGAUCAGCAGUAGGUUCUGAAGCACUAGCACCCCCAUCAACAUUUGAUUUCUCAUGUGUAUGUGCACCUUCCAUCUUAUGGUCUUUCUCCUUGGGUGGUUCGUCAGACUCAGGAUCACUGUUAGUUACCACCCUGUCAACUUUGAAGAAAAUUUCAUAGAGGCAAUCAUCAACUACGAUGUCAGCAUCAUCAGGAAUGCUGUUUACAUCCAGUACUGCCCCAACAAUCUGAGCACACCAGUCUUUUUCAUGGAUCGCAUGUCCACCCUUUGUGUUGCACCUAGGAUUGAACCCACUGCCCUCAAAGGUAGGAAAAGACCUAAUCUCAUAUGGAACACCAUAUACAUGAACCCAUACCUUUUGCAGCCUUGUCUUUGGUUUGAUCUCAUGGUUCCAUUCUUGAAAAGACAUCACCCCUUCAUUAUUGUCGGUGCGAUGCCUCUUUAUUGAAACUAUCCGCUGCAGCUCUACUUGGCAAGGGAAUGGAACGAUAUAUGUAUUUGUUCCAUGUUCCUGCACCACCCAAUCCCACUUCACCGGGAUCAGGCGAGCCAAUUCCUUUUUGACAAGAUCAGCUGGUACUGUGCCUUCUAUAAUCACUAAUAGAGAACUCACCAUCCGUGCGUCCCCUUUUAUUUUGGUUUAAAGUUAGCUCGAGACAAAAGGUUCACCAACCGGGACUAAAGCUCAGUCACUGGCAGGGGGCUCACCAACCGGGACCUUUUAUCCCGAUUGCAAAGGCUAGUGGAAAAA
rnacentral:lncRNA from 1 species